GACGAACGCUGGCGGCGUGCUUAACACAUGCAAGUCGAACGGAAAGGCCCUGCUUUUGUGGGGUGCUCGAGUGGCGAACGGGUGAGUAACACGUGAGUAACCUGCCCUUGACUUUGGGAUAACUUCAGGAAACUGGGGCUAAUACCGGAUAGGAGCUCCUGCUGCAUGGUGGGGGUUGGAAAGUUUCGGCGGUUGGGGAUGGACUCGCGGCUUAUCAGCUUGUUGGUGGGGUAGUGGCUUACCAAGGCUUUGACGGGUAGCCGGCCUGAGAGGGUGACCGGCCGCAUUGGGACUGAGAUACGGCCCAGACUACUACGGGAGGCAGCAGUGGGGAAUAUUGCACAAUGGGAGGAAGCCUGAUGCAGCAACGCCGCGUGCGGGAUGACGGCCUUCGGGUUGUAAACCGCUUUCGCCUGUGACGAAGCGUGAGUGACGGUAAUGGGUAAAGAAGCACCGGCUAACUACGUG
rnacentral:rRNA from 1 species